rnacentral:rRNA from 1 species
GACGAACGCUGGCGGCGUGCUUAACACAUGCAAGUCGAACGGAAAGGCCCUGCUUUUGUGGGGUGCUCGAGUGGCGAACGGGUGAGUAACACGUGAGUAACCUGCCCUUGACUUUGGGAUAACUUCAGGAAACUGGGGCUAAUACCGUAUAGGAGCUCCUGCUGCAUGGUGGGGGUUGGAACGUUUCGGCGGUUGGGGAUGGACUCGCGGCUUAUCAGCUUGUUGGUGGGGUAGUGGCUUACCAAGGCUUUGACGGGUAGCCGGCCUGAGAGGGUGACCGGCCACAUUGGGACUGAGAUACGGCCCAGACUCCUACGGGAGGCAGCAGUGGGGAAUAUUGAAAAAUGGGCGGAAGCCUGAUGAAGAAACGCCGCGGGCGGGAUGACGGCCUUCGGGUUGUAAACCGCUUUCGCCUGUGACGAAGCGUGAGUGACGGUAAUGGGUAAAGAAGCACCGGCUAACUACGUG